UAGGGAAUCUUCCACAAUGGACGAAAGUCUGAUGGAGCAACGCCGCGUGAGUGAAGAAGGGUUUCGGCUCGUAAAGCUCUGUUGGUAGUGAAGAAAGAUAGAGGUAGUAACUGGCCCCUAUUUGACGGUAAUCAACCAGAAAGUCACGGUUAACUACGUGCCAGCAGCCGCGGUAAUACGUAGGGGGCAAGCGUUAUCCGGAUUUACUGGGUGUAAAGGGAGCGUAGACGGACUUGCAAGUCUGAUGUGAAAAUCCGGGGCCCAACCCCGGAACUGCAUUGGAAACUGUAUAUCUAGAGUGCAGAAGAGGAGAGUGGAACUCCAUGUGUAGCGGUGGAAUGCGUAGAUAUAUGGAAGAACACCAGUGGCGAAGGCGGCUCUCUGGUCUGUAACUGACGCUGAGGCUCGAAAGCAUGGGUAGCGAACAGG
rnacentral:rRNA from 1 species